rnacentral:tRNA from 1 species
GCCCCCGUAGCGCAAUGGUAGCGCGUAAGACUGUACGUUCACACAUCAACCUCAUCAUCUAACGACCCUUCAACUAAUAAAUCAACAGUCUAGGUACCAAGCCAUCUUAAGGUUGCGGGUUCGAGCCCCGCCGGGGGCU